AGUUUUAUAAUUUUUAGAGAUUGUUUGGGCAGUUUUUUGCAAAAAUGAUCAAUAAUAAGGACUAAAUUGAAAUUUUGCGUAUUGUGAUGGAUGAUUGAUUUGAUGGGCCCAGGAGGGGCUGUGUGAUAUGAUUGAACUGUUGAUGUAUGGAUUGUGAGUAUAGAAGUGCGUUUUUAGCCCUUUUGCAGGUUGGGUAGGUCCUAGGUAUAGGGGAGACUCUGCCGGAUUUUCGGCACGACUUAGGACGUAAUUGGUCUUUUUCUUUAUUUGUAUUGAGUCAGAUUGUAUUAAAUAAAUGUAAUAUGAUUGUCAGGUGAGCCGGGACAGCCUUCUUCCUCCGCCCAGCCGCCACAGUAAUUUGUCGUCAAGUCUGCCACAGGAGGAUAUUUUGUUCUGGGUUAACCUGCCUUUUUACCUCGCAGGUUGUUUAUCAAUAUUGUGUAAUUUUAAUUACUCCUAGAAUUUCCGCAUGUGUUAGCAGUAAUUAUUUGAAAUGGGUCUGUAAUAUUAUAUUCAUGUUGGACCUGUAAACUUAAUAUUUUAAGU